UCUGGGCUGUCAUAGGGGAGUAGCCGCCCUUCUUUAUUGAGAGGGGCUUGCGUCAACAGACUUGUUUUGCCAACCCUUGGCAGACAUGGCGCAAGCAGAGUCCAGCAACUGGAUUUUGGUGAGACCUUUGACUGCACGCCUCCGUUUUUGGCCGGGGUUGCCGUGCAGUCAUUGGUUUUUGUUCCGGCCGGAGACCCU
rfam:Rhodoferax ferrireducens isolate A7 Ga0073115_103, whole genome shotgun sequence.